CAAUAGCGUAUAUUAAAGUUGUUGCGGUUAAAAAGCUCGUAGUUGGAUUUCUGCUGAGGACGAUCGGUCCGCCCUCUGGGUGAGUAUCUGGCUCGGCCUUGGCAUCUUCUUGGAGAACGUUACUGCACUUGACUGUGUGGUGCGGUAUCCAGGACUUUUACUUUGAGGAAAUUAGAGUGUUUCAAGCAGGCGCACGCCUUGAAUACAUUAGCAUGGAAUAAUAAGAUAGGACCUUGGUUCUAUUUUGUUGGUUUCUAGAGCUGAGGUAAUGAUUAAUAGGGAUAGUUGGGGGCAUUCGUAUUUAACUGUCAGAGGUGAAAUUCUUGGAUUUGUUAAGGACGGACUACUGCGAAAGCAUUUGCCAAGGAUGUUUUCAUUGA
rnacentral:rRNA from 1 species